CCUACGGGCGUCAGCAGUAGGGAAUAUUGCUCAAUGGGGGAAACCCUGAAGCAGCAACGCCGCGUGGAGGAUGAAGGUUUUCGGAUUGUAAACUCCUUUUGUUAGAGAAGAUAAUGACGGUAUCUAACGAAUAAGCACCGGCUAACUCCGUGCCAGCAGCCGCGGUAAUACGGAGGGUGCCAGCGUUACUCGGAAUCACUGGGCGUAAAGAGCGCGUAGGCGGGAUAGCAAGUCAGAUGUGAAAUCCUAGGGCUUAACCAUAGAACUGCAUUUGAAACUGUUAUUCUAGAGUAUGGGAGAGGUAGGUGGAAUUCUUGGUGUAGGGGUAAAAUCCGUAGAGAUCAAGAGGAAUACUCAUUGCGAAGGCGACCUGCUAGAACAUAACUGACGCUGAUGCGCGAAAGCGUGGGGAGCAAACAGGAUUAGAUACCCGAGUAGUC
rnacentral:rRNA from 1 species